UACGGAGGAUGCAAGCGUUAUCCGGAAUGAUUGGGCGUAAAGCGUCCGCAGGUGGCUAUGUAAGUCUGCUGUUAAAGAGUCUAGCUCAACUAGAUAAGAGCAGUGGAAACUACAAGGCUAGAGUACGUUCGGGGCAGAGGGAAUUCCUGGUGUAGCGGUGAAAUGCGUAGAGAUCAGGAAGAACACCAGUGGCGAAGGCGCUCUGCUAGGCCGUAACUGACACUGAGGGACGAAAGCUAGGGAGCGAAUGA
rnacentral:rRNA from 1 species